CUCAUUUUAUUAUUUCAUUAUUACUUUCAGCUACAUCAACCAGAAGAACUUUUCACAUGAUUAUUGAUUUAGUUUCCUUGGAGAUGUUAACAGUAAUUGUUAAAACUUGAAAUCAGACAGAAUGAAACUUUGAGAAAAUUUACAUAUACAGUGUACAUGUAGCUUCAAUAUGAAUCAAUUGAUUGGUACACUAUCACAAUGAUGUCAAUCUGAUCUUUGGAAGAUUAUCAAGUUACAUGAGAAGCAUUGAAAGCCUGUAGAUUAUAUACACAAAUGGAAUAGACUCACACUUUCAAAAAACUUUCAGACAAGACAGUGACUAAUGCAAUCUCAAACAAGGAUCAUUCAUGUUUCAAUGAGUGAAUUGGAGUGCAUACCAGUUGCGCAUGAAACUUUGUGUGCAUUUUUUAAUAUUAAUUUCCAUUUUAUUAAUUGUUUUGAAAAAAUUGUAUGUCUUCAUAAUUUUAUCAUGAACAUAUUGUUGUUAAUAAUUAAAAAAGAAAUAAAGAA